rnacentral:rRNA from 1 species
AUUGAACGCUGGCGGCAUGCCUUACACAUGCAAGUCGAACGGCAGCGCGGACUUCGGUCUGGCGGCGAGUGGCGAACGGGUGAGUAAUACAUCGGAACGUACCCUGUUGUGGGGGAUAACUAGACGAAAGAUUAGCUAAUACCGCAUACGACCUGAGGGUGAAAGUGGGGGACAGAAAGUCCUCACGCAGCAGGAGCGGCCGAUGUCUGAUUAGCUAGUUGGUGGGGUAAAGGCCCACCAAGGCGACGAUCAGUAGCUGGUCUGAGAGGACGAUCAGCCACACUGGGACUGAGACACGGCCCAGACUCCUACGGGAGGCAGCAGUGGGGAAUUUUGGACAAUGGGGGCAACCCUGAUCCAGCAAUGCCGCGUGUGUGAAGAAGGCCUUCGGGUUGUAAAGCACUUUUGUCCGGAAAGAAAUCGCGCUGGUUAAUACCUGGCGUGGAUGACGGUACCGGAAGAAUAAGCACCGGCUAACUACGUGCCAGCAGCCGCCGCGGUAA